CCGAUGUAGCUGUUCAUUGUGUGCACAAAUAUAUUAAGUGUAGGACCUUAAAAACUUGUGGAAUUUCGUACUUUAUGUUACAGGUCCAUUACAGAGUAAACUAUAUUCUAUAGUUGCAUGAAAUUACCUAUAAAAUUCGACAUUUUCUUAUUAGAGAAGCAUUGUUACUUAGGUGUAAAACACAGUUAUAAUACGGAUCACCUCUGACCAAAAAGUGAAGACCCAGAACCGAUUGCCGUUUGAAGCCGCAAAGUGGUCAAGUCCUGAAGCGAUCCCCUCCAUCCUUCGAACAGAAGAAAGAAAUCGCGCUCACCAACCUAUUAAUAUCAGAACUGACAUCCACUGACCAUUCAUUUCUGGAGCUGGAAGCUGUGCUGGCUUGCUGUCGCAGGAAGGUACGUAGACUACACGUGUUUAACUUGUUGCUGUUGCAGGACGAUAGCAACAGAUAAAGUUAGUAAACUAAUCCCAGGAUCAGUUUCUUUAGCUCAUGUGUAGUAUAGCUAAUAGGGGGCGAGGGAGAUGCCACCAUUUGUAUUUGUAUCGGUAUUUGUUCAACUAACAAAAUCAUUUGUAUUUGUAUUCGAAUAGAAACUGGAAGUGGGUGGAGUUUAACACAGAAGCUACAUAAAAUCCCAGUACCUGAUUUUUACCAUUAUAAUCACUGGCACUGCUAUUGUUGAGAUAGUAAAGCACUAAAGUCAUGGUUUUACUAUGACAUCAAUAAUAAUUCAGUUUAACAACAGAUCAUUUGAUUUUCAAAAGCUGUAUUUAACAAACGAUGACUUACAUGUUAUAUAGCCAUAACAGGCUUUAAUAACACUGAGGUAAACAAACAAUCAAAUCAAGUUUUAAACAUAGGCAAAAUGUUUUUAUAAAGCAAAACAUAGUUAUUCAUCCUUACUCUAAACUGCAUAGUGCAAACUGCAUGAACCCUACCACUAUCCCUACCUGAGGGAUACAUAUUGCAAGUCAAUUAUAACAGAAAAAAUGCUUUUAUAAUUGAAAAAAUAGUUCCUCAACUUCAUUAAUGAACUACUAUAUGUUAUGAACUCCUAAUGAAAUAAAAAAACUACAGAAUGUAAGGCUAAUAUGUUUUGUUGUUUUUUGCUUGUUAAUACUUUUUCUCCUCUCUUUGUUGAAGUCCCACUUUACCUGUAUGUUUGAUUUGCAUAUAUUUGGAUAAAUCAAAGAAACAAAAAACACUUCACUGGGUAGAAUACAUCUUUAGCUAUUAUGCUCCUACUCAAACUUCCCCAAGCUGUAUUUUGUGAAGACAAGCUCCUGCACAUGAGUUGGGAGCAGUCUAGAGUGAUGGAGAGACAUAACAUCCCUGCUAUACUAGUGUUACGUCCCCGUUGGUCUAGGGGUACAGGGGAGUAACAAAAUGACUGAUUAUUAAAGAUUAAAGUUUAUUUACACAAUUAAUUAUCUAUACAGUGAACAAACAGGAGGGGAAACACUGGGCGGUACCAAACAAAAGAAGAUAACCAAAACAGAAAUAUAUAAGCUAUUAACAAUUCUAGAAAUGAAAGAAACUAACUAACUGAAACCCGAAAAUCUUCCGAACCUAACUAACUACACUGACUAUUCUAAACUGAACAAAAAAACAUACAAGGGUGGUACACGCCCGUAUCUAUAUAUAUAUACACAAG